rnacentral:rRNA from 1 species
CACGGGGGGAGCAAGCGUUGUUCGGAAUCACUGGGCGUAAAGGGCGUGUAGGCGGUCAAGUAAGUGGAAUGUGAAAUCCCUCGGCUUACCCGAGGACCUGCAUCCCAAACUGCUUGGCUUGAGUACGGGAGAGGAUGAGGGAAUUCCUGGUGUAGCGGUGAAAUGCGUAGAUAUCAGGAGGAACACCGGUGGCGAAAGCGCUCAUCUGGCCCGAUACUGACGCUGAAGCGCGAAAGCUAGGGGAGCAAACGGG